rnacentral:rRNA from 1 species
UACGGGGGGGGCAAGCGUUGUUCGGAAUUACUGGGCGUAAAGGGCGCGUAGGCGGUCACCGCAAGUCGACUGUGAAAUCUCCGGGCUUAACCCGGAAAGGUCAGCCGAUACUGCGGGGCUAGAGUGCAGAAGGGGCAACUGGAAUUCUCGGUGUAGCGGUGAAAUGCGUAGAUAUCGAGAGGAACACCUGCGGCGAAGGCGGGUUGCUGGGCUGACACUGACGCUGAAGCGCGAAAGCUAGGGGAGCGAACGGG